UGGAUCAUAUAAUAAAAAAAAUAGUACAUUUUUACAAUGAACUAUUAUACAUAUUGGUUAUAAAAUGGAUUAUAGAUGACAUAACAAUGAUUUAUAGCCAGCAGCUGGCUAUAUUAUUGUACUUGCUCUUACGAGUGACAGAAGCCGCUUCACUGGCAUUCAAUCCCCUUCCUAUGUACUCUCGUUGGAGCCGAAUCUGAGAUCCCUCCACCCCCAUUCAAUCCCCUUCCAUUCGCAUCUCAAAACUACAAGAACAAAAAAUCCCCUUCCGUGCGUGCGCCGCCGGCCGCCGCCCUUCCCCCGCGACCUCGACGGCUGCUGCUGCUCGGCGCCCUCGACCGCGCCGCCACCACGGUCCUCGGCAGCCGCUCUUGACCUCGGCUGGUUUUUCUCCCCCCGCGCCCCCUCGACGCUCACCGCCGAUGAGCUGGAGGGGGCCGGGCAGUCCAGAGGCUCUCUCGGUACGCGUCCUCCUCGCCGCUCCUCAGCUUCUGCUUCGACUUGCUGCGUGACCUGCUUCACGUCGGCCCGGCCUGGCCGCCAGAUGCGUCAGCCAGCUCGGCGACUUCAUCCACAGCAUCAUCUCCCGUGACGCCGGCGCCUCCUUGGUCUCCCUCCGCCCUCGAGGUGUCCUUUCAGAAUUUUGUGGAUAUAAACCAAGUGAGGAAUUUCACCAUGCUCAGGAAUGCCAUACAGGAAGGACCAAGGGUCUCUACCAUGCCAGAAUCAUGCGAGUACGAGCUCUGUCUCAUCCUGGAGCUCAUAUCCCGCCAUUUCAUUUCAUCGGUGCAAGAUGAUGCGGAAUUUGACCAGUUCUUUAGUGCACUCUCUUGGUCAAAGCAUCAACACUGAUGCGUUUUCCUUGUCAACGGACUUCUCAGUCAUACCAAAUAAGUCAUCUAUGUUAAGUCCAGUAGCUUCAUAUUGUCCAAGUAAGCUGAUGGUUUCAGAUAUGUAAAGUAAUAUAUAAUUUUCAUUGUGCCUGUUACCUGCAACCCUCGUUCUCAGAACUGUCAACUGCAACCUCUGAAAAUGAGGGUUGCAGGUGACAGGCACCAUGAAAAAUCAUAUAUUAGAAUGAGGGUUGCAGGUGCCACGCACCAUGAAAAUCAUAUAUUAGAAUGAGGGUUGCAGGUGAAACGCACCAUGAAAAUUAUAUAUUACUUCGCAUAUCUGAAACCAUCAGCUUACUUGGGCAUAUGUUAAGUCCAUCAGCAAGGUAGAUCAUCUCCUCUGAUACUUUAGUAUCCGGUUCAUGUGUGUCCUUCUGGUUAGCACAACCUAGGAUAUUUGACACUAUUUUCUUCACACCAAUAACAACGCCGUGCCUCGAUUGUUCGAUUCGAUUGUUCAGGAAAGAUAUGCUCGUUCUCCUCAAUGAAACGAGGAGAACCAGGAUAUCUUUCCUAAACAAUCGAGGCAGGACGCUGUUAUUGUUGUGAAGAAAAUAGUGUUAAAUGUCCUGGGUUGUGCUAACCAGAAAGACACACAUGAACCGGAUACUAAAGUAUUAGAGAUGAUCUACCUUGUUGCUGUACUUAGGCUAAUGAGUUCCUCUUUUCUAGCGGUUCUUCACUCUAUUAGAAAAUUGACUACCCCGACGGAGCAUACUACUACAUGAAGGCUAUCGAGUAGUUAGGAGGCUCCCAGACAGAACGCCUUGCCUUUUCGAUCCGAUAUUAUGUUUGUGCUAGCCUUCUUAAGGCAAAACUUAUGUAUUCAAGCCCUCGAGGCCAUUGACUUGUAAUAUGAAAUUUGUAUGAUUUUAAUUUGUGUUUAGAGUUGUGUUGUGA